UUAUAACACACUUUAGCUAAAAUAUAUUGAAUGAUUUUUUAUAUUUGCUUUAGUUAAAUAGCUAUGUAAUUAAAUAAUUACAGUUUUAUUUUAUAUAUUUUUACUAAUGGAUCUAUGCAGACAUUUUUCGAUCGGAUCUGAUAAGUAUAUUGAAACCUACUGUCAAUAUAACACGCUGUCAUAUAACAGAGAAAAAUCUAGUCAUUGAGAUAUUUAUUGGUUACAUUAAUAAAAAAAUAAACAUACACAAAAAAAAACUACUAACAUAAUACAUGAAUGAUAGUUAACUACUUGCAUGCGUAAAAAUGCAUUAAAUGUAC